ensembl:miRNA mir203a microRNA 203a
UUUUCUGUCUCUCUGGUGCAGUGGUUCUAAACAGUUCAACAGUUCUUACCAAAAUUGUGAAAUGUUUAGGACCACUUGAUCAGGGGGAUGAUAG